CCGCCAGCACAAUGAUGAUGUCACUGACUCUACUGCUGGGCACCCUGGGGCUCCUUGUUCAGGGUUCAUCAGGACAAAUCAUCCUGACUCAGUCUCCUGGAUCUCAGUCUGCUGCUCCAGGACAGACUGUCACCAUCAGAUGUAAAGCCAGUUCAAGUGUUGGUAACAACCUCCACUGGUACCUUCAGAAAUCUGGAGAAGCUCCUAAACUCCUGAUUUAUUAUGUAACAAACCGCCAGUCUGAAGUUUCAAAUCGUUUCAGUGGAAGUAGAUCGAGCAAUGACUUCACUCUGACCAUCAGUAGAGUUCAGGCUGAAGAUUCAGGAGUUUACUACUGUCAGCAGAGCGGCAGCUGGCCAUUCACACAGUGA